AACUGAAAUAUUAAUUUAAAUAAAAUAAUUUAUUAAUAAACCACAUAUUAUGAAAUGACAUAAAUUCUAUGAAAUGUAUGUUCUUAUCCUUGCUAAUUGAUUGCUUAAGAUUUAACUGUAUUCCAGGACGAAUGUUUCUGCAAAUUUUCAAUUGCAAUUGUAAGUUUCUAUUUUGAUGUCAUAAAAUCUAACUUUAAGAAUUUGAAAAAGAGUCCUGUGUCAAACAACUCGUGUGAACAAGGACCAUAAACUGUCCAAAGGACAUCAAGAACGUCUCUAUGGUUUCCGAGAUAUGGAUAUUGUCUUUUUUAAGGACAUUCCAUUGACCACCCAGGGAACCAUUCUGAUGUCCUUUGGACAACAAGUGCUGCUUAUUCUGCCAACUUAAAAUAUGUAAUCAAAAGGACGGAAAUCCUAAAUAGAGCUGAGGAAAGGAGGUUUUUGUUGGCACAGAUAAAUGGCUGUAUAUACAAUGAAAGGGUCGAAAGUCCUUCAGAAUGCCUAGAUAUCCUGACAAGUCCUGUGUCAAACAACUCGUGUAUACAAGGACCAUAAACUGUCCAAAGAUCGUCCUUAUGGUUUCCGAGGUAUACAUAUUGUCUUUUUUAAGGACAUUCCAUUGACCACUCAAAGGACCAUUCUGAUGUCCUUUGGACAACAAGUGCUGCCUGUUCUGCCAAAAUAUGAAAUAAAAAGGACGAAAAUGCUUCAAGGAGCUGAGGAAAAGAGGUUUUUUUCGGCACAGGUAAAUGGCUAUAGAUCGGCCGUAUCCUUGCCGAUCAUGAUGUCCUUUGGCCAACCGUUAGUGCUCAUCCUUCCGAUUCAGAAUAUACAAUGAAAAGGACGAAAGUCCUUCAGACAGCCUAGAUAUGAGUACAAUUCGAACGUAAAUUAACAAAGCUAUAACUCAUCCGUAUCCUUGCAGAUCCUGACAAGUCGUGUGGCAAACAACUCGUAUGAACAAGGACCAUAAACUGUCCAAAGGACAUCAAGAUCGUCCUUGCCGUUUCCGAUAUAUGGCUAAUUUUCUAAAAAGGACAUUUUUCAAAUGGCCAUAACUCGGCCAAAUCCUGAAGGAUAUCGCCAGGAUAUGGCUUAUUAAACUCGUGGCGAGCAGAUCUAUCGAUUGGCAUUCAAGGAUUUCCAGGAUUCGACAAAAAAUUUCAUCGAAAUUUUUCCAAGGGGACUGACAAAUUAAGGACUACAUUGAGCUCCAAGGACCUUCACGAGUAACAAAGCAGAUUUUUGCAGGAUCGGACUUUAAUUAAGCUAGAUAUGGUCAUUUUAAGUUCAAACUCGAUUUGUAUAACUUUAAGAGAAAUAAUUAAGAAAUUAACAUACAAAACAACAAAUUUAU